rnacentral:rRNA from 1 species
UACGUAGGAGGCGAGCGUUGCUCGGAAUCACUGGGCGUAAAGCGCACGUAGGCGGCUUCUUAAGUCAGGGGUGAAAUCCUGGAGCUCAACUCCAGAACUGCCUUUGAUACUGAGGAGCUUGAGUCCGGGAGAGGUGAGUGGAACUGCGAGUGUAGAGGUGAAAUUCGUAGAUAUUCGCAAGAACACCAGUGGCGAAGGCGGCUCACUGGCCCGGUACUGACGCUGAGGUGCGAAAGCGUGGGGAGCAAACAGG